UCGGAGUUGUUCAGCAAUGAGACACUUGCCUUGAACAAAAAGGUUUCAAGGACGUAGAAGAGCUCCUUUUGAAAACUAUGUUGCAGCCUGGAGGAGAAAGGUGGUACACUUGGUAUAGGCCGGUUGGUCCCCUGAACUUCUCCUAGAGACUCUUCCUGGCAGAGCCUGAAUGUAAGGAAACUGUCAGCCAUCAAAAAAGGCAGUGAAGUCAAUUAAAAAUCAAGUGUAAACUCAUGCCUUCUCUGGUUCUUCUCAUGCAUGCUAUUUACAUCUUACCACCUGCACUGUAAACUCCAAGUGGGCAGGGAUGGGCCCUACAUUUGUUCGGUGUCACAGGCUGCCUCUCUUUCACUUCUCUGUGUUCAAUAUGUAUUUAGUAUUUUAUUCAAUGAAUGGAAAGAUGAAAUUAUUUUUAUAUUUUCUGUAGUACGAACUCAGGAGUAUACCUUCUCCUAGGUCUGAAAAGCAGACAGACAAAAUGUGGCUUAAAUAAUAAAACCUAUUCCUAGCUGGUCUAGUCGCGCUAAUCCAG
rnacentral:lncRNA from 10 species